UGGUUAGUACAGUGAUGUAGUGGUUAGCACUGUUGCCUUGCAAUAAGAAGGUUCCAGGUUCAAGCCCUGGCCAGCCAG